rnacentral:lncRNA from 1 species
UGAAAUCAACGUUGUUCUUGGCGGAAUUAAGAGAAAGCACUGUUCUCAAUAUAAUCAAUGAGAGGAGCAACGCUAUAAUCUGCUUGAAGAUAAGAAUGAAAAUAAUGUCUUAAGUUAAAUAAACAAAAAUUGAACAGAAGUGUACUAACCAAAGAUAAAAUAAAUUGAUUGAUUCUUUCAAAAUUGAGAAUGAAAAUGAAAAUUAUUUGUGCGUUCCUUGUUUGUUGAACAGGAAAUUGAGACUUGGAAUCAAUUAAAUCAAUCUAGGUUGAUUAAAAAUACAAUUAAUUUAACUAUAACCCUAAAUUAUCAAACUAGAAAGAGAGAAGAAAAAAAAAUCAAAAUUAAAGGAAACAAUACCUGAAAUUCGAGAAGCAGCUAAAGCAAGCUAAAAUUCUUCGUGCGUUCUUCUUCGAAAGAGAAUGGAUAUGAAAGUCGAAAUUGAGUGAUUGAUGAAAAAACUGAGAGGUGAUUAUUGAAAAGGAAGUAAUGGGAAUGAGUUUGAAUUUUCUCAAAA